UACGGAGGGGGCUAGCGUUGUUCGGAAUUACUGGGCGUAAAGCGCACGUAGGCGGCUUUGUAAGUCAGAGGUGAAAUCCCGGAGCUCAACUUCGGAAUUGCCUCCGAUACUGCCGUGCUUGAGGACUGGAGAGGAGAUUGGAAUUCACAGUGGAGCAGUGAAAUGCGUAGAUAUUGUGAGGAACACGAGUGGCGAAGGCGAAUCUCUGGACAGUUCCUGACGCUGAGGCACGAAGGCCAGGGGAGCAAACGGG
rnacentral:rRNA from 1 species